rnacentral:rRNA from 1 species
GUGAGGAAUAUUGCGCAAUGGAGGCAACUCUGACGCAGCCAUGCCGCGUGCAGGAAGAAGGCGCUACGCGUUGUAAACUGCUUUUAACCGGGAAGAAACCCCAGGACGUGUCCUGGGUUGACGGUACCGGAGGAAUAAGCACCGGCUAACUUCGUGCCAGCAGCCGCGGUAAUACGAAGGGUGCAAGCGUUAUCCGGAUUCAUUGGGUUUAAAGGGUGCGUAGGCGGAGCGUUAAGUCAGUGGUGAAAUCCUGCAGCUUAACUGUAGACUUGUCAUGGAUACUGGCGCUCUUGAGUGCGCUUGAAGUGGGCGGAAUGUGCCGUGUAGCGGUGAAAUGCUUAGAUAUGGCACAGAACACCAAUUGCGAAGGCAGCUCACUAAGGCGAUACUGACGCUGAGGCACGAAAGCGUGGGGAUCGAACAGGAUUAGAUACCCCAGUAGUCC